AUGAGCGCUGGCGGCGUGCCUCAUACCUGCAAGUCGAGCGAACGGACGAGAAGCUUGCUUCUCUGAUGUUAGCGGCGGACGGGUGAGUAACACGUGGAUAACCUACCUAUAAGACUGGGAUAACUUCGGGAAACCGUAGCUAAUACCGGAUAAUAUUUUGAACCGCAUGGUUCAAAAGUGAAAGACGGUCUUGCUGUCACUUAUAGAUGGAUCCGCGCUGCAUUAGCUAGUUGGUAAGGUAACGGCUUACCAAGGCAACGAUGCAUAGCCGACCUGAGAGGGUGAUCGGCCACACUGGAACUGAGACACGGUCCAGACUCCUACGGGAGGCAGCAGUAGGGAAUCUUCCGCAAUGGGCGAAAGCCUGACGGAGCAACGCCGCGUGAGUGAUGAAGGUCUUCGGAUCGUAAAACUCUGUUAUUAGGGAAGAACAUAUGUGUAAGUAACUGUGCACAUCUUGACGGUACCUAAUCAGAAAGCCACGGCUAACUACGUG
rnacentral:rRNA from 1 species